GACGAACGCUGGCGGCGUGCUUAACACAUGCAAGUCGAACGGAAAGGCCCUGCUUUUGUGGGGUGCUCGAUUGGCGAACGGGUGAGUAACACGUGAGUAACCUGCCCUUGACUUUCGGAUAACUUCAGGAAACUGGGGCUAAUACCGGAUAGGAUCUCCUGCUGCAUGUUGGGGGUUGGUAAGUUUCGGCGGUUGGGGAUGGACUCGCGGCUUAUCAGCUUGUUGGUGGGGUAGUGGCUUACCAAGGCUUUGACGGGUAGCCGGCCUGAGAGGGUGACCGGCCACAUUGGGACUGAGAUACGGCCCAGACUCGUACGGGAGGCAGCAGUGGGGAAUAUUGCAGAAUGGGCGGAAGCCUGAUGCAGCAACGCCGCGUGCGGGAUGACGGCUUUCGGGUUGUAAACCGAUUUGGCAGGUGACGAAGCGUGAGUGACGGUAAUGGGUAAAGAAGCAACGGCUAACUACGUG
rnacentral:rRNA from 1 species